CUUCCAAUGGCCAAAACAACAUGGCAAGGCUUUGGAGGCGCCGCGGCAAAUCACAACAGCUUGCCACCCUGAAAUCAAUUUUUCUACAGCAAAUGUAUGCCAUACCAAAACAGUAGUACUGCUCUUUUGACACACAGGGGAUUUCAGUUUUGGUAUUACCAGCUAUGCUGAAUUAUGGACUUGGGCAGCAGGAUGCUUCAGUUGUGCACACACAAGCAAUCUUCCUCUCACUCCUUUUUGCCCCAGUGUGCUCCUGUACAAUCCAGAUGCUCCAAGAGAAACACAGAAAUUACUUGCAUGGAACAGAUUAGAAGCUUGAGAGGUUGCAUUCUCAUUUUGAAAUGGCAUGUUUCAAGUUGAAGCGAACAUUCUUGAACACAUCUGCUGCCAACAAAGGUUCUA